rnacentral:hammerhead_ribozyme from 1 species
AUCCAAUGGAAGAGUCCCAAAUAAGACGAAACGUGUGUCCUGGAU